CCUACGGGUGGCUGCAGUGGGGAAUGUUGGACAAUGGGCGCAAGCCUGAUCCAGCGAUUCCGCGUGUGGGAAGACGGCCUUCGGGUUGUAAACCACUUUUGUAGAGAACGAAAAGUCUAUUGAUAAUACCGAUAGACGAUGACGGUACGCUAAGAAGAAGCACCGGCUAACUACGUGCCAGCAGCCGCGGUAAUACGUCGGGAGCGAGCGUUAAGCGGAAUUACUGGGCGUAACGGGUGUGCAGGCGGUUUUGCAAGAUGGAUGUGAAAGCCCCGGGCUUAACCUGGGAAAGCCAUACCUGACUGCAAGACUAGAGUGCGUCCGAGGGGGGUGGAAUUCCCAGUGUAGCCG
rnacentral:rRNA from 1 species